rnacentral:rRNA from 1 species
CUGGGCCUUUCCUGACGCUGAGGAGCGAAAGCGUGGGGAGCGAACAGGCUUAGAUACCCUGGUAGUCCACGCUGUAAACGGUGGGUACUAGGUGUGGGGUCCAUUCCAUGGGUUCCGUGCCGUAGCUAACGCUUUAAGUACCCCGCCUGGGGAGUACGGCCGCAAGGCUAAAACUCAAAGGAAUUGACGGGGCCCCGCACAAGCGGCGGAGCAUGCGGAUUAAUUCGAUGCAACGCGUAGAACCUUACCUGGGUUUGACAUGGAUCGGGAGUGCUCAGAGAUGGGUGUGCCUCUUUUGGGGUCGGUUCACAGGUGGUGCAUGGCUGUCGUCAGCUCGUGUCGUGAGAUGUUGGGUUAAGUCCCGCAACGAGCGCAACCCUUGUUCACUGUUGCCAGCACGUUAUGGUGGGGACUCAGUGGAGACCGCCGGGGUCAACUCGGAGGAAGGUGGGGAUGACGUCAAGUCAUCAUGCCCCUUAUGUCCAGGGCUUCACGCAUGCUACAAUGGCUGGUACAAAGAGUGGCGAGCCUGUGAGGGUGAGCGAAUCUCGGAAAGCCGGUCUCAGUUCGGAUUGGGGUCUGCAACUCGACCUCAUGAAGUCGGAGUCGCUAGUAAUCGCAGAUCAGCAACGCUGCGGUGAAUACGUUCCCGGGGCU